GGAUGAUCAGCCACACUGGAACUGACACACGGUCCAGACUCCUACGGGAGGCAGCAGUGAGGAAUUUUGCGCAAUGGGGGAAACCCUGACGCAGCAACGCCGCGUGAGUGAUGAAGGCUUUCGGGUCGUAAAGCUCUGUCAAGUGGGAAGAAACCACGAGGUGAUAAUAUCGCUUUGUGCUGACGGUACCACUGAAGGAAGCACCGGCUAACUCCGUGCCAGCAGCCGCGGUAAUACGGGGGGUGCAAGCGUUAUUCGGAAUCAUUGGGCGUAAAGGGCGCGUAGGCGGUUUGUUAAGUCAGAUGUGAAAGCCCGGGGCUCAACCCCGGAAGUGCAUUUGAUACUGGCGGACUUGAGUAUGGGAGAGGGAAGUGGAAUUCCUGGUGUAGAGGUGAAAUUCGUAGAUAUCAGGAGGAACACCGGUGGCGAAGGCGACUUCCUGGACCAAUACUGACGCUGAGGCGCGAAGGCGUGGGUAGCAAACAGGAUUAGAUACCCUGGUAGUCCACGCAGUAAACGGUGAUCACUAGGUGUAGCGGGUAUUGACCCCUGCUGUGCCGCAGUUAACGCAUUAAGUGAUCCGCCUGGGGAGUACGGCCGCAAGGUUAAAACUCAAAGGAAUUGACGGGGGCCCGCACAAGCGGUGGAGCAUGUGGUUUAAUUCGACGCAACGCGAAGAACCUUACCUGGGUUUGACAUCUCGGGGAUUUUUUGGAAACAAGAAAGUGCCCUUCGGGGAGCCCGAAGACAGGUGCUGCAUGGCUGUCGUCAGCUCGUGUCGUGAGAUGUUGGGUUAAGUCCCGCAACGAGCGCAACCCUUAUCUUUAGUUACCAUCACUUCGGGUGGGGACUCUAAAGAUACUGCCCCGGUCAACGGGGAGGAAGGUGGGGAUGACGUCAAGUCCUCAUGGCCUUUAUGCCCAGGGCUACACACGUGCUACAAUGGGCGAUACAAAGGGUAGCGAGCCUGCGAAGGUGAGCCAAUCCCAAAAAGUCGUUCUUAGUUCGGAUUGGAGUCUGCAACUCGACUCCAUGAAGCUGGAAUCGCUAGUAAUCGCGGAUCAGCACGCCGCGGUGAAUACGUUCCCGGGCCUUGUACACACCGCCCGUCACACCAUGAGAGUUGGUUGUACCAGAAGUUGUUGGGCUAACCCGCAAGGGAGGCAGGCACCUAAGGUAUGGCUGAUGAUUGGGGUGAAGUCGUAACAAGGUA
rnacentral:rRNA from 1 species